rnacentral:lncRNA from 1 species
UCUGAUAGUCCAUUAAGACAAGGUUUGUAAGCUAUUCCUAACUUCUUAUUUGUCUUAAUUUAAUCCUAUAAUUUUAAUCAACAAAUUCUAACAUCAGGGUCUUUAGGUUGAGGUUUGUAAGCUUUUCCUUCAGAUUGAUAAUUCAUUAAGGUAAGGUUUGUAAGAUUUUCAUUAAAUCCUUGUCUUUGUUUGAUUAAAAUUAGUCAUUUAAGCUCAAUAAGAUAAGUUAC